AUUGAACGCUGGCGGCAGGCCUAACACAUGCAAGUCGAGCGGUAACAGUCCUUCGGGAGCUGACGAGCGGCGGACGGGUGAGUAACGCGUAGGAAUCUACCCAGUAGAGGGGGAUAGCCCGGGGAAACUCGGAUUAAUACCGCAUAAACUCUAUGGAGCAAAGGGGGCUUCGGCUCUCGCUACUGGAUGAGCCUGCGUGGGAUUAGCUAGUUGGUGAGGUAAUGGCUCACCAAGGCGACGAUCUCUAACUGGUCUGAGAGGAUGAUCAGUCACACUGGAACUGAGACACGGUCCAGACUCCUACGGGAGGCAGCAGUGGGGAAUAUUGCACAAUGGGCGAAAGCCUGAUGCAGCCAUGCCGCGUGUGUGAAGAAGGCCUUAGGGUUGUAAAGCACUUUCAGUAGGGAGGAAGGUCAAGUAGUUAAUACCUGCUUGGAUUGACGUUACCUACAGAAGAAGCACCGGCUAACUCCGUGCCAGCAGCC
rnacentral:rRNA from 1 species